ensembl:rRNA 5S_rRNA 5S ribosomal RNA
GUUUACGGCCAUACCACUCUGAACGCGCCCGAUCUAGUUUGAUCUCGUAAGCUAAGCGGGGUCGGGCCUGGUUAGUACUUGGAUGGAAGACCGCCUGGGACUACCGGGUGCUGUAGGCU